rnacentral:rRNA from 1 species
AAUCAACGCUGGCGGCGUGCCUCAGACAUGCAAGUCGAACGAUUAAGACUUCCUUCGGGAGGUGCAUAAAGUGGCGCACGGGUGAGUAGCACGUAAGUAAUCUACCCUCGAGUGGGGAAUAACGUUCGGAAACGAACGCUAAUACCGCAUAACGCAGCGGCACCGCAAGGUGACAGUUGUUAAAGGAGCAAUCCGCUUGAGGAGGAGCUUGCGGCAGAUUAGCUAGUUGGUAAGGUAAUGGAUUACCAAGGCUACGAUCUGUAUCCGGUCUAAGAGGACGGUCGGACACACUGACACUGAAUAACGGGUCAGACUCCUACGGGAGGCAGCAGGCGGGAAUUUUGGGCAAUGGGCGAAAGCCUGACCCAGCAACGCCGCGUGAAGGAUGAAGUAUUUCGGUAUGUAAACUUCGAAAGAAUGGGAAGAAUAAAUGACGGUACCAUUUAUAAGCUCCGGCUAACUACGUGCCAGCCGCCGCCGUAAGAC